GACGAACGCUGGCGGCGUGCUUAACACAUGCAAGUCGAACGAAGUGGCGAACGGGUGAGUAAUACGUGGGUAACCUGCCCUCCUUUUUGGGAUAAGCCUUGGAAACGGGGUCUAAUACCGAAUAAAGGGGGAUGGGCUCGCGGCCUAUCAGCUUGUUGGUGGGGUGAUGGCCUACCAAGGCGGCGACGGGUAGCCGGCCUGAGAGGGUGACCGGCUACAUUGGGACUGAGAGACGGUCCAGACUCCUACGGGAGGCAGCAGUGGGGAAUAGUGCACAAUGGGCGAAAGCCUGAUGGAGCGAUGCCGCGUGGAUGAAGAAGGCCUUCGGGUUUUAAAGUACUUUCAGUGAGGAGGCGGUAGUCGCAGAAGAAGCACCGGCUAACUCCGUGCCAGCAGCCGCGGUAAUUC
rnacentral:rRNA from 1 species